GACCAACGCUGGCGGCAUGCCUAACACAUGCAAGUCGAACGGACAGAACAGGGAAGCUUUUCGGAGUGGAACUGGAAAGUUAGUGGCGGAUGGGUGAGUAACGCGUGGACAACCUACCUUGUAAAGGGGAAUAACCUCGAGAAAUCGAAGCUAAUACCCCAUAAUAACCUUGCUUCGCAUGAAGUAAGGAGGAAAGGCGGCCUUAGCGCUGUCGAUACAAGAUGGGUCCGCGUCUGAUUAGCUAGUUGGUGAGGUAAAGGCUCACCAAGGCGACGAUCAGUAGCCGGCCUGAGAGGGUGAACGGCCACAUUGGGACUGAGACACGGCCCAAACUCCUACGGGAGGCAGCAGUGGGGAAUCUUCCGCAAUGGGCGAAAGCCUGACGGAGCAAUGCCGCGUGAGUGAAGAAGGCCUUCGGGCUGUAAAACUCUGUCCUUAUCGAAGAGAGAGUGUUGUAGUAACUGACAAUACUAGGACGGUAGAUGAGGAGGAAGCCCCGGCUAACUAUGUG
rnacentral:rRNA from 1 species